UACGUAGGGUGCGAGCGUUAAUCGGAAUUACUGGGCGUAAAGCGUGCGCAGGCGGUUUUGUAAGCCAGAUGUGAAAUCCCCGGGCUUAGCCUGGGAAUGGCAUUUGGGACUGCAAGGCUGGAGUUUGGCAGAGGAGACUGGAAUUCCCGGUGUAGCAGUGAAAUGCGUAGAUAUCGGGAGGAAUACCGAUGGCGAAGGCAGGUCUCUGGGCUAUAACUGACGCUCAUGCACGAAAGCGUGGGGAGCAAACAGG
rnacentral:rRNA from 1 species